AGAUGAGAGAAACACCCACCCACAGGGGACUGCGGGUGGUGCCCGGUCGGCGCUUUCCUGGCUUCGACCUGGCCGUGCCCUCGCGCACACCACCGGACCCCUGGCACGGGGAUUCCGGGAAUCCUCACCGAUCGGA
rnacentral:ncRNA from 1 species